rnacentral:lncRNA from 1 species
CUUUCCUUUUUUUUUUUUUUUUUUAGUUUCGGCAGACACAACAUCUUUGUUUGUAUGUGGUGCUGAGGAUCGAACCGAGCCGCAUGCAUGCCAGGCGAGCGCGCUACAGCUUGAGCCACAUCCCCAGCCAUAUGUGGUUAAUUUCUAGACUUCAAAAUUGUUGAGAGCCACAGCCUUGAGAGCCACAGCCGAGUUGGGAUGGCGCCUAGCAUUUUGCCAGAAGGAGUGAUUGAGAGGUGUCCCUAGGGAGCCAUUAAGAUGAUGAUAAUUAAGUUAAGCUGUGUAUAAUUGCUGUGACUGGAUGAUGCUGGAUUGAAACAGGCUGUGUAUUCAGUUGUCUAUAGACCCCUGCUGUCCUGCAAUAGGGUGGCUCCUGCUGUCUCAGGCGCCCGCUACUUUUGAGUUCUCUCUACUUUUGAGUUCUUGCACCUCAGGCGCCCGCUUCUUUUGAGUUCUUCCUACUUUUGAGUUCUCACUGAGUUCCAGUUGAGUUCCCGUGGAGUUCGCGUGGAGCCUGGUGGAGAGGGAGAGAGUUCCUGGGAAGUGCUUGUGGAGUGCGGGUGAGAGUUCGGGCAUAAAGGAGUUCCUGUUUGAACCUACAAGUGGCUCAUGACCUCCCAAUUUGGUGCCCAGCCUGACUGCGGCAUUUGGUGGCCCGUGCGGGGGAUGCCUGAAGCUUGGUGUUAAGUGAAAUUGCUCACCCCUGAGGGAGGGCGAGAGAAUGGGUGUCCAUUUCAAAAAACAAUGUGUUCUUGUUUUGAUUUGUUUUGUUUUUGUUUCAAGCUGCCUGUCCCUAGAACUUUCUCAGGCAAACUGGGGAAAAUGGUUGGCUCAGAGUUUGAAGUUGUCCGGCCCUGAGGAAGAGAUAGAGAAAAACCAUGGAUACACAUAUCAAGAAAAUAGAAAAACUGAUACAAAGAAUUUUUGUUCCAUUUUUGUUUCAUUCUGUUUCGGUUUUGUUUUGUAUUAUCUUGUUGGGUUGGGUUAUCCAUGUAGCAGAAAUAUGGGGUCAGAAAUUAGCAAAAAACAAACGGAAAGAAUGUUAAGUAAAUUGUUAGAGGAAGGAGGCACCCCAGUAAAAGCAAGAACAGUCAGGGCAUACGUUGAUACAAUACAAAAAUGUAGCCCAUGGCUUUUUAAGGAGGAGUUGUUGAAUAUAUCACAAUGGGACCAUCAUGGUGAAGACUUAAGAAAGAGGGAAAAGAAAAACCCAGGAACUCUGCCAGUUGGCACAUUGCCAUUGUGGAUGAUGAUACGAUUUUGUUUGCCUAGUCCAAAGCUUUCAGUUCAGAUUAUGGUAGAAGACAUAUUAGAUCAGGAAAAAGAGGAGACCUCUCGAGAUAGUCAGAAAGGGGCAGAAAGUUUAGAGCAGAAAAAGCCAUCAGGGGGAAAGUUACAACAGGAGGCUGCUACUAACACCUUUGUAUCACCAGAGGGCGUAAGUGUCCAACCAACAGCUCCACCUAUGGAGACAACAUAUGCUGGGGGGCCCCAAACCCCCGUAGUUGAUAGAUGGGAUCCUGAGACAGGACCUCAAAGAUUAAGAUGCCCUGUAUUUGAGACAACAGAAGGGCAGCGAAUUCACCGUGCUCUAGAUUUCAAAACAGUGAAGCAGCUGAAAGAGGCUGUAACAACCUAUGGUCCUCAAACACCCUUCACUGUAAGUAUGGUCGAAUCCAUUACCUACUUUGACAUGACGCCAGCAGAUUGGGCUAGUAUGUGCAAAGCUGUGCUAAAUGGAGGACAAUAUCUGUUAUGGAAGGUUGCCAAUCAGGAAUUUUGCAUGGAGACGGCUAAGCGAAAUGCAGCAGCUGGUUAUCCUCAGAGAAAUUUAGAUAUGUUGUUAGGAAAGGGACCUUAUGAGAGUCAGUUGCAACAAAUUAGAUAUGAUCCUGCCAUAUACUCACAAAUCGCUUUAGCUGCAGUUAGGGCAUGGAAAACUUUACAGGGGCAUGGAGAUUUACAAUUAUCUAAGGUAAUACAAGGAACUAAUGAACCUUAUGCUGAAUUUGUAGAUAGGCUUAUACAAACAGCUACCAGAAUCUUUGGGGAUGUAGAACAAGCGAUGCCAUUAAUAAAACAACUAGCUUACGAGCAAGCAAACAAAUGUUGCAGGGAGGUCAUUAGACCAUGGAAACAUGGAGAUUUAAACACAUAUAUUAAAUUAUGUAGAGACAUUAAUGAACGGGAGCAAGUCUUGGCAACUGCAAUACAACAGGCUUUAGGUGCCAGGCCAAAAACAUGCUACAGUUGUGGACAAACAGGACAUUUUAGAAGGAGUUGCUUCAUAGGAGGAGGGUUUAACAAAACUAGAUAUGAUCAAAGGGGUAAAAUACCAGGUAUUUGCCCAUGAUGCCAUAGAGGGAGACAUUGGGCUAAUGAAUGCCGUUCUCAAACCACCAUAGAGGGUAUUUCUUUAUCAAAAAACUGACAAGGACCAGGUGUUGACCCACGAUACCAUGGAGAAAAGCAUCGUGCUCCAUUGCCAAAAAACGGACAGGAGGGCCCAAUGCUCCGGGGCCCACUACCACAAAUAUACGGGGCACUGGAGGAACCCAGCAACACCAUCAGGGCAGUGCCCAGGACACAUUAUCCAUUAGAGUGCUCAUGAAAAAAUGGAUCCAAAUAUUUUUAUUAUUCAUGUGAUUUAAAUGGUUUAAUUUAAAUUGGGUAAACAGCUGUUGAGGAUUGUUUUAAUAUGUGAACAAAAAAGGAGAUUAACAGAUCUGUUUGUUUACUUUCACCUUUCCUUUUCAUUAUAUCUAAUUCUAUUCAGAAUACUAAAUUGUUUAGAAAAUUGUUUUUUUUUAGUGCCUGCUGGAAUGUUACAUAAUUUUUUUUAGCCAUCAUUGCCAGAAUUCCUGUCUUCAUCCCAGUGCUGGUGAAGACAAAGAUAAAACCGAAAUACAGCUUCUGCGAUAGCUAUCACAACAAACUGUAUAAACUGAUGCAUCAAUGAAUAAUAACUCAACAAGUGAUGCUCAAUCAAGGAGUCGAUUUACUUUGGGAGGAAAUGGACAUAUAGAUGGAUUCCUCUGCUUUGAACUGCUUGCAGAACUUGCCUGGACUAUGUAUCACUUGUAUGCAUUGUGAACUAUCUGUUGGUGCAACGAAUUGUGGUAGUGCUGCGGUAUCUUUGCUGAUGGUGUCAUCGGUGGUACAAUUUUUCCAAAAGGAACUCUCAUUUGGCUUGAGAUCGUGGCAUUUUGCAUCCUCCUCCCUUUUGCUUGUGAUGGUCUAAAAUUUGGGGGCCAACAGAGGUGAGGCAAAGAACCUCACCCCCCCCUCCACUGGCACCAAGGCCAAAUUUGGGGGCCAACAGAGGUGAGGCAAAGAACCUCACCCCCCCCACUGGCACCAAGGCCAAAUUUGGGGGGCCAACAGAGGUGAGGCAAAGAACCUCACCCCCUCACUGGUGCAAAGCUCAAACUUGGGGGCCAAUAGAGGUGAGGCAAAGAACCUCACCCCCUCACUGGUCCAAAGGCCUAUCCACAAGUAUGGCUGUAUGCUGGACCAGUAGUCAAUGACUGGUAAGAUCCAAUUGCAGUGGUACCAACCUAAGACAGGAGGCUGAUGCCUUGAGGUCAGCUCAUCCUCUGACAAGUAAGGACCAUAUGUAGUAUGGGACAACCUAAGACAGGCAUGUUCCCUAAGCCACAUUGCUUGUUGUUUAAUUAAACAGAAUAGAGGAGAUGUUGAGGGCCACAGCCAAGUCACUAUGACUCAUGGCAUUUUGCUAGAAGGGAGUGGUUGAGAGGUGACAGGAGUGAGCCAUUGAGAUGAUGAUGGUUAUGUUAAGCUGUGUAUUCAAUUGUAUAUAUGACCUUUACUGUCCAGCAAUAGGGCAGCUCUUGCUGCCUCAGGUGCCCCCUACUUUGGAGUUCCCUUUGAGUUCUCCCAGUGGUUCCCAGAGUGAGUGCGUGCACAGCCCAGGGGAGUGGGGGAGAGUUCCCAGGGCGUGUGCCUGGAGUGCUGGUGGAGUUCAGGCAAUAAAGUUUCCUGUUUGAACAUACAAGUGCUUUGUGG